AACACAAUUAGAUUUGCUUCUUUUGCCCCAGAACAAAGCGGGUUUGUUGAUGUACUGAAUCGGACACAUUACUUUCUAGCUGAACACUCAGCUUCAUCCACUCCAGGACAGCUGAGCGUCUGGGGCUUCAGAAGCUGAUGGCAUAGUUAUGAGAGGGGUGAAGACUGCGACUGCAUUUCCAACAGACCCUGAGGACAAUUGGGAAGAAUGCGCUGAAUAUUUUUGAGCAAUUUCUAUAUGAUAAGCAGUUUUUAGGCAAGGGGGAUGAGUCCAUAAGAUGACACUGGAAAAGGGGAUUGGCUUGAGUGCACCAGGGGGCCAGAGACAUGGGUCAUCCCUGGUGACGGGAGUUGGAAUGCUCCCCUGAGAUGGAGACUGGAAGUACAAGAAAGAAGAAAGUUGUUGUGAGGGCAAGUAUAGGUUGCACUGAUCCUGACCUUUUGGCCUGAGGAUGGAAGUCUUCAGUA
ensembl:lncRNA AQP4-AS1 AQP4 antisense RNA 1